ACGCUCGACACCUACGGAGGCAGCAGUCGGGAAUAUUGCGCAAUGGAGGAAACUCUGACGCAGUGACGCCGCGUAUAGGAAGAAGGUUUUCGGAUUGUAAACUAUUGUCGUUAGGGAAGAUACAAGGCAGUACCUAAGGAGGAAGCACCGGCUAACUAUGUGUCAGCAGCCGCGGUAAUCUGAGCGGGCUGGCAAGGC
rnacentral:rRNA from 1 species